AUUGAACGCUGGCGGCAUGCUUUACACGUGCAAGUCGAACGGUAACAGGCCGCAAGGUGCCGACGAGUGGCGAACGGGUGAGUAAUGCAUCGGAACGUGCCCAGUCGUGGGGGAUAACGCAGCGAAAGCUGCGCUAAUACCGCAUACGAUCUAUGGAUGAAAGCGGGGGACCGAAAGGCCUCGCGCGAUUGGAGCGGCCGAUGUCAGAUUAGGUAGUUGGUGGGGUAAAGGCUCACCAAGCCAACGAUCUGUAGCUGGUCUGAGAGGACGACCAGCCACACUGGGACUGAGACACGGCCCAGACUCCUACGGGAGGCAGCAGUGGGGAAUUUUGGACAAUGGGCGCAAGCCUGAUCCAGCAAUGCCGCGUGCAGGAAGAAGGCCUUCGGGUUGUAAACUGCUUUUGUACGGAACGAAACGGUCCGGGUUAAUACCCUGGGCUAAUGACGGUACCGUAAGAAUAAGCACCGGCUAACUACGUGCCAGCAGCCGCAGUAACAC
rnacentral:rRNA from 1 species